AUUUUAUCUAAGAGUGCAGCUCCAAAUGCAACUUUUGCCUUUCACUUAAUAAAUUGGAGGCUUGAAGUCAGGUCCCUCCAGAGACCUACUCUUAAGAUGACUCCUUAGCCUCAGGAAACUUGGGUAAGGCUGUCAUUUCUGUCAUUAUUGUAAAUGUAGUUAGAUCAUAGUAGUACCUGUUUUCAGUCGGUGGCUUAUUGCAGAGAACUUCCAGCUUCACAGAAAAUGCGAAGGAAGGAGAAAAAGGGGACUGAACAUGGACUCCCGAGGAAAGAAACAAAAGAUUGAAAACAACUACAGGAAAUGCGACAAGGAAUGGUGCAAGAUCGCUCCCCUGUCAAAGGGAAAAUUCAUGAAGAAAUUCCCCUGAAAUCUGCUCAGGGAAAGAGACCCCAGUGAUAACUAUGUUCCAGGUUCAUUCUUUGGAGAGUGAACUGUGUCCCGGGUGUGUUCUUUGGAGUGUCUAGAACCAUUUCUGGAAUUCAACUGAUUUUUUCCCCCCCUAUUGCACUAGGGAAAAGAAAACCAAAAAUGAUGUUUAUUAAAAACUCUCCACUUUAUAA